rnacentral:misc_RNA from 1 species
GGAAGGAUCAUUAACACUCAAAAAUUCAUAAAAAAAAUUUGUCAAUCAAAGAAUAGAGAUUGUUGGGAUAAUAAUUGGUGGAAACAUCAUUUGUAAUCUCUUCUUCUUUUCCUUGAUUGUACAAAAGCUCAAAUAGUGGUAUGUUAAAGUCUUUAACAACAAUAAUAAUAUUGUUGUUAAAGUAAUUUUAUAUUACCCAGUCAUAUAUUUUUUUGUCUUAUUGAUCAUUAUCACUGUCAUUUUAACGAUGACAAUGACAAUGUACAAAACAAAAAAGAAAAACACAAAGACAACUUUUAACAACGGAUAUCUUGGUUCGCACAACGAUGAAGAGCGCAGCGAAAUGCGAUAAGUAAUGUGAAUUGCAGAAUUCAGUGAAUCAUCAAAACCUUGAACGCAAAUUGCACUUGGAGGACAGCCUCCAAGUAUGUCUAUUUGAGUGUCGGUUCCAAUUAUCAACAUCACACUUAUUAUAAGUGUAAUGUAUGGAAUUGAACUUUGGGAUUACAUCAAUCUCAUUGUUUGAAAUUAAUAGCAUGAGUCAGGAUAAAAAUAAUUACUUUUACUCAUGUGUGAUGCAUUGGUAUCUCGUUAAGAGGUAACUACAUCAUACUAUUAAAAAGUUAAUAUAUUUUAUUCUUGAAUUUGCAUGCACAUCAAGGAUCAUAAAAGAAAGUAACAUUUCUUUUAUUCUCAUUACCUCGACCUCAAAUUAGAUGAGACUACCCGCUGAAUUUAAGCAUAUAACUAAGCGGAGGAAAAGAAACUAACCAGGAUUCCCCUAGUAACGGCGAGUGAAGAGGGAACAGCUCAAAUUUAAAAUCUGGAGGGUUUCCCUCCCGAAUUGUAGUUUUGUGAGCAGCUUCACGAGUGCACGGCUCCGGUACAAGUUCCUUGGAAUAGGACACCAUAGAGGGUGACAGUCCCGUACAUGACUGGAGCAUAAACCGUGUAACGAUAGUGCUGCUGCCUCGAAGAGUCGGAUACUUUGGGAGUAGUGUCCAAAAUGGGUGGUACAUUUCACCUAAAGCUAAAUAAGGGUGCGAGACCGAUAGCGAACAAGUACUGUGAAGGAAAGAUGCAAAGAACUUUGAAAAGAGAGUCAAACAGUUCUUGAAAUUGUUAAAAGGGAAGCGAUUGAGAGUAGUGACUGUCCCUCUGUCGAUUCAAACGGUGGUAGAAUAUUGGUGGGGGUAUAGGGAAUGUACACUUUGCUUGUCAUACCUAUGUCCUUGCCUGGUGUUAUGCUGCCGGAGCACUUUGACAGGGGACGUGUCGACAUCUGUGGGAGUGAUUUGUGGCAGAAUGAUCAGGGUGAGGUACCAGGCUGGUCUUUUCCAGUUCGGAUUAUACACCUUGAUAGAUACCACCGCUAUCCUACAGAGGCGCCUUAAGGUGCAAGCAUGUGCCAAGCGAGGCAAGGUUUAUCCCGUUGAAUGAAGACUGUGGAGACAGCAUGCUGUGUCUAUUGAUCUAUUGUUUAGCAGAGAUGAAUCAGCCGUAUGCAUGCUAGGGAUGUCGACGAAAUGCUUUCAACCGUCCCGUCUUGAAACACGGACCAAGGAGUCUAACGUAUGUGCGAGUAUUGGAGUGAGUAAAACUCCGAUGCGUAAUGAAAGUGACUGGUGGGAAGCUCUCCUUUAUUGUUUUGAGCUGCUGCACCAUCGACCGAUCUGGAUAUUCUUGGAUAGAUUUGAGUACGAGCACAUCCGUUGGGACCCGAAAGAUAGCGAACUAUGCUUGCAUAGGGUGAAGCCAGAAGAAAUUCUGGUGGAGGCUCGUAGCGAUACUGACGUGCAAAUCGUUCGUCAAAUGUGGGUAUAGCGGCGAAAGACUAAUCGAGCUGUCUAGUAGCUGGUUUCCUC